rnacentral:tRNA from 1 species
AUUUGUUUAAUAUAAAUAAAAUAUAUUUGACUUCCAAUCAAACAAUCUAGAAAUAGCACAAAUA